rnacentral:rRNA from 2 species
AUCCUUUGUUGCCAGCGGUUCGGCCGGGAACUCAAAGGAGACUGCCAGUGAUAAACUGGAGGAAGGUGGGGAUGACGUCAAGUCAUCAUGGCCCUUACGAGUAGGGCUACACACGUGCUACAAUGGCAUAUACAAAGAGAAGCGACCUCGCGAGAGCAAGCGGACCUCAUAAAGUAUGUCGUAGUCCGGAUUGGAGUCUGCAACUCGACUCCAUGAAGUCGGAAUCGCUAGUAAUCGUAGAUCAGAAUGCUACGGUGAAUACGUUCCCGGGCCUUGUACACACCGCCCGUCACACCAUGGGAGUGGGUUGCAAAAGAAGUAGGUAGCUUAACCUUCGGGAGGGCGCUUACCACUUUGUGAUUCAUGACUGGGGUGAAGUCGUAACAAGGUAACCGUAGGGGAACCUGCGGUUGGAUCACCUCCUUA